rnacentral:rRNA from 1 species
UACGGGGGGGGGCAAGCGUUGUUCGGAAUUACUGGGCGUAAAGGGCUCGUAGGUGGCCAACUAAGUCAGACGUGAAAUCCCUCGGCUUAACCGGGGAACUGCAUCUGAUACUGGAUGGCUUGAGUUUGGGAGAGGGAUGCGGAAUUCCAGGUGUAGCGGUGAAAUGCGUAGAUAUCUGGAGGAACACCGGUGGCGAAGGCGGCAUCCUGGACCAACACUGACACUGAGGAGCGAAAGCGUGGGGAGCGAACAGG